rnacentral:rRNA from 1 species
UGGGGAAUUUUGGACAAUGGGCGAAAGCCUGAUCCAGCAAUGCCGCGUGUGUGAAGAAGGCCUUCGGGUUGUAAAGCACUUUUGUCCGGAAAGAAAUCCUUGGCUCUAAUACAGUCGGGGGAUGACGGUACCGGAAGAAUAAGCACCGGCUAACUACGUGCCAGCAGCCGCGGUAAUACGCAGGGUGCAAGCGUUAAUCGGAAUUACUGGGCGUAAAGCGUGCGCAGGCGGUUUGCUAAGACCGAUGUGAAAUCCCCGGGCUCAACCUGGGAACUGCAUUGGUGACUGGCAGGCUAGAGUAUGGCAGAGGGGGGUAGAAUUCCACGUGUAGCAGUGAAAUGCGUAGAGAUGUGGAGGAAUACCGAUGGCGAAGGCAGCCCCCUGGGCCAAUACUGACGCUCAUGCACGAAAGCGUGGGGAGCAAACAGGAUUAGAUACCCUGGUAGUCCACGCCCUAAACGAUGUCAACUAGUUGUUGGGGAUUCAUUUCCUUAGUAACGUAGCUAACGCGUGAAGUUGACCGCCUGGGGAGUACGGUCGCAA